ACUGCUCAGUAACACGUGGACAACCUGCCCUUAGGACGGGUAUAAACCCGGGAAACUGGGUAUAAUACCCGAUAGGUCUCGAUUGCUGGAAUGCAUCGAGAUUUAAAGCUCCGGCGCCUAAGGAUGGGUCUGCGGCCUAUCAGGUAGUAGUGGGUGUAGCGUACCUACUAGCCUACGACGGGUACGGGUUGUGAGAGCAAGAGCCCGGAGAUGGAUUCUGAGACACGAAUCCAGGCCCUACGGGGUGCAGCAGGCGCGAAAACUUUACAAUGCUGGCAACAGCGAUAAGGGAACCUCGAGUGCCAGGUUACAAAUCUGGCUGUCGAGAUGCCUAAAAAGCAUUUCAUAGCAAGGGCCGGGCAAGACCGGUGCCAGCCGCCGCGGUAACACCGGCGGCUCGAGUGGUAACCGUUAUUAUUGGGUCUAAAGGGUCUGUAGCCGGCCGGAUAAGUCUCUUGAGAAAUCUGGCAGCUUAACUGUCAGGCUUUCAGGAGAUACUGUCUGGCUCGAGGCCGGGAGAGGUGAGAGGUACUUCAGGGGUAGGGGUGAAAUCUUGUAAUCCUUGAAGGACCACCAGUGGCGAAGGCGUCUCACCAGAACGGACCUGACGGCAAGGGACGAAAGCUAGGGGCACGAACCGGAUUAGAUACCCGGGUAGUCCUAGCCGUAAACGAUACUCGCUAGGUGUCGGCCACGGUGCGACCGUUGUCGGUGCCGUAGGGAAGCCGUGAAGCGAGCCACCUGGGAAGUACGGCCGCAAGGCUGAAACUUAAAGGAAUUGGCGGGGGAGCAC
rnacentral:rRNA from 1 species